GAUGAACGCUGGCGGCGUGCCUAAUACAUGCAAGUCGAGCGAACGGACGAGAAGCUUGCUCCUCUGAUGUUAGCGGCGGACGGGUGAGUAACACGUGGAUAACCUACCUAUAAGACUGGGAUAACUUCGGGAAACCGGAGCUAAUACCGGAUAAUAUUUUGAACCGCAUGGUUCAAAAGUGAAAGACGGUCUUGCUGUCACUUAUAGAUGGAUCCGCGCUGCAUUAGCUAGUUGGUAAGGUAACGGCUUACCAAGGCAACGAUGCAUAGCCGACCUGAGAGGGUGAUCGGCCACACUGGAACGGAGACACGGUCCAGACUCCUACGGGAGGCAGCAGUAGGGAAUCUUCCGCAAGGGGCGAAAGCCUGACGGAGCAACGCCGCGUGAGUGAUGAAGGUCUUCGGAUCGUAAAACUCUGUUAUUAGGGAAGAACAUAUGUGUAAGUAACUGUGCACAUCUUGACGGUACCUAAUCAGAAAGCCACGGCUAACUACGUG
rnacentral:rRNA from 1 species